GAUGAACGCUGGCGGCGUGCCUAAUACAUGCAAGUCGAGCGAACAGAUGAGGAGCUUGCUCCUCUGACGUUAGCGGCGGACGGGUGAGUAACACGUGGAUAACCUACCUAUAAGACUGGGAUAACUUCGGGAAACCGGAGCUAAUACCGGAUAAUAUAUUGAACCGCAUGGUUCAAUAGUGAAAGACGGUUUUGCUGUCACUUAUAGAUGGAUCCGCGCCGCAUUAGCUAGUUGGUAAGGUAACGGCUUACCAAGGCAACGAUGCGUAGCCGACCUGAGAGGGUGAUCGGCCACACUGGAACUGAGACACGGUCCAGACUCCUACGGGAGGCAGCAGUAGGGAAUCUUCCGCAAUGGGCGAAAGCCUGACGGAGCAACGCCGCGUGAGUGAUGAAGGUCUUCGGAUCGUAAAACUCUGUUAUUAGGGAAGAACAAAUGUGUAAGUAACUAUGCACGUCUGGACGGUACCUAAUCAGAAAGCCACGGCUAACUACGG
rnacentral:rRNA from 1 species